UCGUGAUUUCGGUUCCCGCUCUUUCAGAAAGCGGCCAGCUUGUGGGCAGCAAGUGGACCACAAGUGGUACUUGGAUUUUUAUUUGUGUUUCUGGUCUCCCAGGUACAAGAGUGACUGAGGAGUCAGUGUGGAAGUUCUGUAGGCUAUCAGCUAUCUCAGAAGGCCUUGGAAAAAGGAGCUAUCUGGGUCCAACUUUCUUCGUUUGGGUCACACACAGAGACAUGCAUCCAGAAGAGCAAACAUGAACAUUGUUCCUUCACUCCAGCUGUCUUCUGUGAAGACUCUGUCAGGUGGCGGGUCAUGGUGCCUCACGGGACACUCUUGAGCUACUGGAACUGGUGGUGUUUAUGGAGGACCUUCUCACACGCACGUGCAAGUCAUCUGUGGCAG